CGGGGCGUGGCGCAGCCCGGUAGCGCACCUGCUUUGGGAGCAGGGGGUCGCCGGUUCAAAUCCGGCCGCCCCGACCA
rnacentral:tRNA from 1 species